ACAAAUCUGUUGAUAGGGAAGAGUAAGUAUUUAGUUUAGCUAAAGAGAGCUGAGGAUGGUGGAAUCUCGGUGCAAUAACUAAUGGUGAAUGGACCUUGAAGAGUAAACCGAAAUUCUUUUAAUUAAAGAAGAGUAGUAGUUAACGUUUGCCGUACGUUAUAACGGAUAGAAUAUGUUAGUAUUCGAAUCAAGAGGUGUUUUUGACACAAAUUAGGUGGUACCGCGGAAGUAUCUCCGUCCUAAUA
rnacentral:ncRNA from 1 species